AUGGGUCAAAAUCAAACUGGUGGUCAUGUCUUGGAGGUGGCAAGAAGGAUGACAAGGACAAGAAAAAGAAAUAUGAACCUCCCGUACCAACUAGAGUGGGGGGAAAAAAGAAGAAGAAAACAAAGGGCCCAGAUGCUGCCAGCAAACUGCCACUGGUGACGCCACACUCAGUGCCAGUUAAAAUUAUAGAAGUUAGAAUUAAAGAUUAUCUUCUCAUGGACGAAGAAUUCAUUAGAAAUCAGGAACAAAUGAAGCCUUUAGAAGAAAAACAAGAGGAGGAAAGAUCAAAGGUGGAUGAUCUUAGGGUGGAUGAUCCCAAUGUCAGUAGGAAAUUUGAAAGAGAUCAUUGAUGACAAUCAUACCAUUGUGGCUACAUCUGUGGGCUCAGAAUAUUAAGGCAGCAUUCUUUCAUUUGUAGACAAGGAUCUGCUAGAGCCAGGCUGCUCGGUCCUGCUCAACCACAAAGUGCAUGCCGUGAUAGGGGUGCUGAUGGAUGACAUGGACCCCGUGGUCACAGUGACAACGAAGGUGGAAAAGGCCCCACAGGAGACCUAUGCUGACACUGGGAGUUUGGACAACCAAAUCCAGGAAAUUCAGGAAUCUAUGGAGCUUCCUCUCACUCAUCCUGAAUAUUAUGAAGAGAUGGGUAUAAAGCCCUCUAAAGGGGUCAUUCUCUAUGGUUCACCUGGCACAGGUAAAUCCUUAUUAGCCAAAGAAGCAGCAAACAAAAUCUCAGCCACUUUCUUGAGACUGGUUGGCUCUGAACUUAUUCAGAAGUACCUGGGUGAUGGGCCCAAACUCAUUCAGGAAUUAUUUAGAGUUGCUGAAGAACACGCACCAUCCAUAGUGUUUAUUGAUGAAACUGAUGCCAUUGGGACCAAAAGAUAUGAUGCAAAUUUAGGUGGUGAGAGAGAAAUUCAGUAACCAAUGUUGCAACUCCUGAACCAGUUGGAUGGAUUUAAUUCAAGGGGAGACAUGAAAGUUAUCAUGGCUAUAACCUAAAUAAACCUUUGGAUCCAGCACUUAUCAGACCAGGCCACACUGACAGGUAUUGGGUUUUCCCCCUGCCUGACGAAAAGACCAAGAAGCGCAUCUUUCAGAUCUACACAAGCAGAAUGAGUCUGGCCAAUUACGUGACACUGGACAAUGACAUGGCUAAAGAUGACCUCUCUGGUGUCGACAGCAAGGCAAUGUACAGAAGCCAGUCUGAUGGCCUUGUGAGAAUGUAGAAUGAAAGUAACAAAUGAAGACUUCAAAAAAAUCUAAAGAAAAUGUUCUUUAUAAAAAAAACAGGAAGGCACCCCUGAGGGGCUCUAUCUCUAG